rnacentral:rRNA from 1 species
UACGUAGGGGGCAAGCGUUGUCCGGAAUUAUUGGGCGUAAAGCGCGCGCAGGCGGUUGUCUAAGUCUGCUGUGAAAUCUCCCGGCUCAACCCGGGAGGGUCGUGGCGAACGGGCAGGCUUGAGGCCGGUAGAGGUGGGUGGAACUCCUGGUGGAGUGGUGAAAUGCGUAGAGAUCAGGAAGAACACCCGUGGCGAAGGCGGCCCACUGGGCCGGACCUGACGCUGAGGCACGAAGGCGUGGGGAGCGAACGGG